rnacentral:ncRNA from 1 species
AUGGAUCUGACUUGCCGAUUUCCCUUAUCUACAUUGUUCUAACAUACCAGCAGCCACUUUCGCACACCCUGGUUGGAGCUCCCCCUCCCCUCCUUGCGGGGGAAGGCCAGGGUGCCAGGAGGGUUAAGCCAUCAUCUGCAGCGAGGGGGGGGGAUGGCCGGCAGGCGGCGGGCGGCCUCGACCAGUGUCUAGGUGUCUAGCAGCUGGCUUAGAACUGGUGCAGACCAGUGGAAUUAGACUUUUUAAAACAAAGCAUCACGAAGGCCCGCGGCGGGUGUUGAUGCAAUGUGAUUUCUGCCCAGUGCUCUGAAUGUCAAAGUGAAGAAAUUCAAUGAAACGCGUAUGGCUAUGUCAUUGGAUCCUAUCAUCAGCACUCUGAUGCGAUCGGAAGAAGCACAAGUAAAACUCCAGAAACUCUGGAUCCAGGUUGGAGGUGAUGUUAGCAAAAUCCUGCAGCUAAACGACCCAACAACCUUAACAGUGCAGUCAGAGGAUAUACUGCUUCCAGUGGAAUGGGAACCCAGUCCCAACCAAAAACCAAAAUUAAUGACUCCAUGCAACUGGCGUAAUGACGAAUUUGAGAACUGGACAAAAUUACCUGUUCAAGGAAAGACACUAUAUCGCAGCACUUCAACUUCGGGCUAAUGUAUAUCCCACCAGGGAAAGCUUGAACAGAGGACAAAGGGGAUACCCAACACUCUGUCGCAAGUGCCAAGAGAAAACCAAAACAUGCUCACAUAUACUUGGACAAUGCCCUAGCGUUCAAUGUGCUAGAUUAAAAACUCAACAAGAUCUCCGACAUUUUAGCGAGCAGAAUUGGGAAGUCAGAAAAGAACCACAUUUCAGACUCGAAGGAUCAAAUGAACUGAGAAAACCCAACCUCAUUUUCACACAAAACAAAGAAUCAAUAGUAAUCGAUGUAACAAUACAAUAUAAACAGAUCCUACACACACUAAAGGAGGCAGCAAGGGAGAAAGUAGUUUACUAUGAGCCCCUGAAAUACCAGAUAAAAGAAACAACAAGAGCCGAAAAAGUUACCUUCUAUGGCUUUCCAAUUAGAGCGAGAGGAAAAUGGCAGGAGAGAAACUACAAUGUCCUUCAGAGUCUGGAGAUUAGAGAAAGUAGACAGUAACAGCUAAGAGCCCUACUUUACUCUCUCGACAUCCUCUCAAUGUUUGGCGGCAAAAACACACCCACUGAAUGUAACAAUGAUUGUAUGUAACUCAAAUGUAUAUAAUGUAACUAUAAAAUGUUCUUCAAUGUUAUAUUAUGUACCUUUGUACAUAACCGAAAAAUGUUAACCCUUUUGCCAAAUUAAAAUCACAGCCAUAAACCCCUUGCUGGCAUCUAGCUAGGUCCUGCCCUUUAUAGCCCUACCCUAGCCAGGACUGAAAUUGACUGGUGGGCACUUGAACUAGACAACCCUCCUUGACUUGGGGAUCUCAUAAUGAUUACAAUCGGCAUGGGAGCCCUCAAAGGCAUUGGUGGGUGUGUCAUCCCAGAUGCCGUCUUGCAAGCAUCAUUUUGGAUGAUUAAGUGGAGGGGCCACUGGACCCAGAAAAGAAAUCAGUUAAUCUGGUGAUUAUAAAUAACCAAAUACCUAGUCAUCUAAUAAGUGACGCACAUGAAUGGAUGAACGAGAUUCCCACUG